rnacentral:rRNA from 1 species
CAGCAGCCAUGGGAAAACGGAGGGUGCAAGCGUUAUCCGGAUUUAUUGGGUUUAAAGGGUCCGUAGGCGGACUUAUAAGUCAGUGGUGAAAGCCUGUCGCUUAACGAUAGAACUGCCAUUGAUACUGUAAGUCUUGAGUAUAUUUGAGGUAGCUGGAAUAAGUAGUGUAGCGGUGAAAUGCAUAGAUAUUACUUAGAACACCAAUUGCGAAGGCAGGUUACCAAGAUAUAACUGACGCUGAGGGACGAAAGCGUGGGUAGCGAACAGGAUUAGAGACCCCCGUAGUCCCUGUCUCUUAUAC